rnacentral:rRNA from 1 species
AUUGAACGCUGGCGGCAGGCUUAACACAUGCAAGUCGAGCGGAGCGAGGGUGCUUGCACCUUAGCUUAGCGGCGGACGGGUGAGUAAUGCUUAGGAAUCUGCCUAUUAGUGGGGGACAACAUUCCGAAAGGAAUGCUAAUACCGCAUACGCCCUACGGGGGAAAGCAGGGGAUCUUCGGACCUUGCGCUAAUAGAUGAGCCUAAGUCGGAUUAGCUAGUUGGUGGGGUAAAGGCCUACCAAGGCGACGAUCUGUAGCGGUUCUGAGAGGAUGAUCCGCCACACUGGGACUGAGACACGGCCCAGAUUCCUACGGGAGGCAGCAGUGGGGAAUAUUGGACAAUGGGCGGAAGCCUGAUCCAGCCAUGCCGCGUGUGUGAAGAAGGCCUUUUGGUUGUAAAGCACUUUAAGCGAGGAGGAGGCUACUUAGAUUAAUACUCUGGGAUAGUGGACGUUACUCGCAGAAUAAGCACCGGCUAACUCUGUGCCAGCAGCCGCCGUAA